ensembl:lncRNA
CAAAGGUGGAGACGGAGUCGGCAUCCUAGGAAAAAACUUAUUUCAUUACAGAUAUAUAGAAAGAUUAGAAACAGAUAGUGUAGUAGGAAAAUUAGAGGAGAAAAGAGGCUGAAUAACUUGGUUUACGUGGAAUAUCAAUCGCUACCUUCGUAGGCCACAGGCAUCUUUCCAUUCUCCGGAAGGAGAGGAGGCACUGAGGCCUCCCUGGUCCGAUCUUAGAGGCCCAGGCAGAAUUAGCAGGCUUGUCCUGCCCGACUUUUUGGGAUUCCAUGGUCUAUAGCCCACCAGGCUCCUCUGCCCAUGGGACUUUCCAGGUGGAUUGUUUACCAAUUGUGUCACCUAGGAAGCCCUGUUCUGUUUAUCAUUGAGCAACUGUCCUCAAAAAGCCCACAAGUUCACAGGAGUGAAUGACUAACACAUAUGCAUCAAUGAAUGAUUAACAAGAGCCAUAAAUUGUGAUCCCUCACCUCAAGGUCAAAUAAAUCCUGUG